GUUAUUCUUCCACAAUGCAGUCAUUUUGACUGCUUUUGGGCAAUAUAGGUAUAUACUAAGUUUCAGUUUUUCUAGUGUUAAUCCUUUUCACUCGGAGCCGUUCUAACUGUAAAUCUAAAAUAAUUUUUCUCGCUUGCAGUAUUAUUUCCAUAUUAUGCGACAAAGUGCGUUUUACGAAUAUGAAAUUGCGUCUUGCGAUUCGUACGAUAGUUACGUUUUCUCCAAUUUUUUAAAUCGGAACUUUGACGAUAUCAAAAUUAUCUUGUAACGUGGUAUAAUAAUUUCAGCGGUGUCUCAGAGUCACCACUCGAGUGCAAAGGGUUAACCUGGCGCUGCGAUUAGUCGAGGGUUGUGCGAAUCUAGGAACGAAAGUAGCUGAAGACAAAGAAGAAACAAAAAUUGUCUCGUUCUGUUGGGAGAAUGAACAAGGACGAAUACGUGACAAUCAACGUGACCGUGAAAAAAAUCAGUAACUAAAAUUACAAGCCUUCAAAUUAAUCGACUCAGUUGUGAAAGAAAUCCUGGUGCAGACGGAUGAGAAACAACUUGAAGAUUCACUUCUUCCACCUUUUUGUUUAAGAAACAACUCGAAGAUGUUCGCGCUGUUUCGUUCACAAAUAAUAUUACUUCGGGUAAUCGAGUCACAUUUCGUUGUUUCAAUGUCGUCAAUCUUGUGUAAUGUUUAAGAAAAACUCUAGGUUGUAUUAAUUUGUCGACCGAAUACCGGAAAUAUUGUGCUAUUUUGAAACUGACGUAUAACACGCAGAAUAUUAAUAAAAUAAUUUAAUAUUCAACUUUUUUUAAAUAAGACAGUAUACUGCGCUGUUAACGUUAAAAUAUUAAUAUCAAGAGUUUUUAAUAACCUACGCAAAACACUCGAACGAUGCGAUAAAUUCUUUUACACGACGAAAAAGUUUCGAAAUUUAUAGGAAAAUUUGUAUCGGUCCAUCGGGCAAAUUAUUAAGCACGAAAAAGUUGAGUAACCGAAUCGAAAAUUUUCAUACCGAUUUUCUUAGCUUUGAAACGCGGAUGGCGCUCCGAUAAGCUACGAUCGAACAGUGACAAUCUUCUCGGCGAGAACAAUAGACGAUAACUCGCAGCGAUGCGUCUUCCCCGACAAUCGCUUUUGCAACGAACCAGCGGACCAACGAAACUUUCUCGAUCCGGAUCACAUGAUUCGGGAGAUCUUCCGAGCAGAUACGAGAUCCCACGCGUCAUCGUUUUCUGUGUCUCUCGUUCCUUAUUGUGGCUGCGACUCAUUUAUUUCGAACCGUAUUCUGAUACUUACGGAUCUAGAUUGUAGAACCGUUAAACCUAGAUCGUGGAACGUUCCACCGAAUAUGUGUGUACAGGUUUUAUGCAACACCGCUUACAUUGUCAGAGUUGCUGUAUAACAGGGAUGGCCAAAGGUCGACUGGUCGACCGCGUGACUACGUAUGUAUUCCUAGUCGUCCGUCUGUCUGAUAUUAUCUAUGUUUAUUUGAAAUUUAAACUUAUUCUUGGGCUUCAAAUUACUACUUUUCGAUACGAUGUUGAUAGACCGCCGUCUAUAAUUAAAAAAAAAAAAGAAAGAAACAGAUCAACCAUAGUGAUCGAAAGUUUGUCCACCCCUGCUGUAUAAUGGCUAGGCUGCGGAUUUUAUACAAUUUAUGAGGAAAGUGAGUGGAUGCAAUUCAAAAUGGUGAUUUGAAGAAUUUAAUGAACAUUUCAAGAAUUUAAUGAUACUAUUCUA